AUUGAACGCUGGCGGCAGGCCUAACACAUGCAAGUCGAGCGGAUGAAGGGAGCUUGCUCCUGGAUUCAGCGGCGGACGGGUGAGUAAUGCCUAGGAAUCUGCCUGGUAGUGGGGGAUAACGUCCGGAAACGGGCGCUAAUACCGCAUACGUCCUGAGGGAGAAGGUGGGGGAUCUUCGGACCUCACGCUAUCAGAUGAGCCUAGGUCGGAUUAGCUAGUUGGUGGGGUAAAGGCCUACCAAGGCGACGAUCCGUAACUGGUCUGAGAGGAUGAUCAGUCACACUGGAACUGAGACACGGUCCAGACUCCUACGGGAGGCAGCAGUGGGGAAUAUUGGACAAUGGGCGAAAGCCUGAUCCAGCCAUGCCGCGUGUGUGAAGAAGGUCUUCGGAUUGUAAAGCACUUUAUGUUGGGAGGAAGGGCAGUAAGUUAAUACCUUGCUGUUUUGACGUUACCAACAGAAUAAGCACCGGCUAACUUCGUG
rnacentral:rRNA from 1 species